GGAGGUUUAGCUCAGCUGGUUAGAGCGCCUGCUUCACACGCAGGAGGUCGUUGGUUCGAGCCCAAUAGUCUCCACCA
rnacentral:tRNA from 1 species